CCCUAAACUGUGUCUCAGUGUGUCAGGGCACGAUGUUAGAAAAGCAAAGGUUUCAGCGCCCAGGGGACACCUCACGUCUCUGAGCCCCGGACUGUUGGCAUUAUACACCGAAGGCACUAAGGGCACUACAGAAUCAUCGUUGUAGAUUGGAAACAAAGAAAGCAGGUGUCAAAGGGCAGAAAGGGGCCUUGAAGGUGCUGUCCAGCCUACCGGGUUCUCACGUAGAACUUGGUAACAAUAGCAGAAACGAAGGUGACAAAGGACAGUAUGUUCCAGUUCUGAGGACUGGGAGGAUGAAACAUAACACACGGAAGGGUGGGUAGGACCAAGGGCUAGAUGUACCCGGCUGGACACGUUUGGCAAAUGUCAUUCACCUCUAAGCUUUCUGAGCAUAUCUGAGCAUCCCACAAAUGUCCACUGAGUUCUUCCAAGAAGACUGGUGUCUAAACCACCUGGGACAGAUGAUGAGUGGGACAGUGAAGAGAUGGCUUCUCUUACCCAGUUCUUCCUUCUACUGGCAUUAAGAAUUCGGCAACACAAGAAAAUUGAGGUGUAUUGGAAGUUAGCAUCAUGUUUAAUGGGGAACUGAUGACACCAGUUCUGCAUGCUCCUCAGCAUUGAUGGGAAGAAAAUGGAAGUGGAAACCACCUGCAAAUAGGAAGUGGUUUGUGAGAAGCAUAAUUUGUCUCCAGUCUUCUUCAGAAACUGUAGACCUCAUGAACAUUUGGAUCAUUAGGAAACUCAACUGAGACAAGGAAACAAUU